GGCCUUUAUCUUGCCAAUGCCUUGAACAAAUAUGGAAUCCUGUACUGCCACAUGAUUGAGCCAAGAAUGAAGACAGUUGGAGAAAACUGUGAAUGUCCCCACAGUCUUGUACCGAUGAGAAAGGCUUUCAAUGGUACCUUCAUUGCUGCUGGUGGUUUUGACAUGGAAGAUGGGAAUAAUGCUGUAGCUGAGGACCGUGCAGAUCUUAUUGCUUUUGGUCGUUGGUUCUUGGCUAAUCCAGAUUUGCCAAAGAGAUUUGAGCUUAAAGCUCCUCUAAAUAAGUACAUCAGAGAUACGUUCUACAUAUCGGAUCCAAUUCUAGGUUACACUGAUUAUCCAUUUCUUGACAGCACUGCACGAGUUUCCAGCUGACAAUGGAAGUUUGAACUUUCUUAUUUUACUCUUGCAUUGGUCUGCUUCAAAGUUUUGUUGUUGCUUUUCUUUCGCAGCAUGUUACACUAGAAUAAAAUAGUCAAUACCAAGUUGGAUAGGCUGGUUAACCAGACUAUGGAGUUCUCAAUUGGUAUGGUGUAGAUUGUAUGUUCUGGUCUCUGAAAGUGCCCUGUCAAGUGUUUUAUUGUAGCUUGUGGCUAUGCGAAGAUGCAACUGAUUGUACCUUGUACGAGAUAAAUUGAAUAAAAAUGGUCUGUCUUUUGACUUGUACCAACUACUGGAUCUUCUGUUUUGUGUAUCUUAAUAAUGAGAGAUACCUGAGGAUAUACUAUAACUUCUGAACUUUGCUGUCGAUUGGAUUUCAUUGUUCAUCAACCACAGGAAUAUGAUUUAUUUUAACUGUGACUGCAUUCAUAAACCCUAUAAUCAAUGCACAUCCUUCAGGUAUCAUCCUUCUUUUUCACUAACAACAGUACGCGUACUGGUGAUGAAAAGGGACUUCUACUAGGUUUGAUCACACAUUAUCCUAUAAGUCCUGAACAAUUUCCAUGGACUUUGUGGAGGGCUUGCCUACAUCAGCUGGUAAAUGAGUCAUCAUGGUUGUCAUUGAUAUAUAGUUUCACAAAAUAUGCUCAAUUUGUUCCAUUAGCACAUCCAUACACUGCUGCUGUCAUUGCUCAACAAUUCAUUCAUCAUAUCUGCAAGCUGCAUGCAUGCAUGGCAGUCCAUCAUAACUGAUAGAGACCCUUUUUCUUGAGCCAUUUCUAGGAAGCUUUCUUUAAGAUUCAAGGCACUGAUCUUCAUAAAAGUUCAGCCUACCAUCCACAAUCUGAUGGACAGAGUGAAAACCUCAAUAAGACAUUGGAGCAGUAUUUGAGGUGUGCAAUUGGGGAAAAAAACUCAUUCAUGGGUUGAAGCUCUUCCAUGGGUGAGCAUUGGUAUAAUAUUGCUCAUCAUUUAGCUGUUGAUAUGUCACCAUUUGAAGCUCUUUUAUGGGUUAAAAACUUAUGAUCCACCACAAGUUCAGUAAUUAACAACUCAGUAACUUCCCCAGUUCCUCCCAGCAAAACCACAAGUCAACACUGGCAGCUCAGUAACUUUCCCAGUUUCUCCAGAAACCACAGCCCACGUAACUCCACACGUCACCAGCUCACAAGCUUCGUAAUGGUAAAGCAGUCAGAGGACCCCCACUUGUUUCCAAGUAGCCGACUUUGUCUUCUAGUUCACUCUCAAACGUAUAAAGACCUAAUUGUUUCUUCCAUUCAUUUCCAGACCAGAACUACUGCUUCCAAAAAAAAAAGACCAGAACUACUAAAACUCCAAUAACUUGAAGCACCCAGAUUGCAAGAUUAUAUAUAUGGCUAACCAAGCUCCCACACUUCCUCUUCUUACUCCUUACAGGUCGGGAAAGUUUGAUCUUUCUCACAGGUAUAUUAUGCUUAAAUCUUUGUCUCUCUCCAGUUUUACAUUGGUUGAUUAUUGCUAAGUGCCCAAGAACAUGUUUUGGUUUUCUCAUCUUCCAAAUUCAAAUGGUCCAUUUUGUUUGUGCAUGAAUUGGCCAUAAUAUGAUCUGGGUUUUGGUUUAUAAGUCGAGAACAUUAUGUGUCACGAGGUUUAGACCCUAUGUUCCCCUCAAUUUACUAUCGUAAUAAUAACAAUAUUGAUAUAGGCCUAUGUCUCGAGGUUUAGGCCUUAUGUCUAGAAGAAAGUAUUGAUGGUUGUAUUGAUAAGUGUUUACUUUGUUUAUCCAUUCCAGAGUUGUUUUAGCACCAUUGACUAGAUCGAGAUCAUACGGAAAUGUUCCCCAGCCGCAUGCCAUCUUAUAUUACUCUCAGAGAGCAUCCAAAGGGGGUCUUCUCAUAAGUGAAGCCACUGGAGUUUCAGACACAGCACAAGGGUAACUUAAUGAAUAGCUUUCAAGUUUCUUUCUGUAAACUUGUAAAUCACAAGAUGCAGUAGAUUUGCAACUUUCGCAUUCCAAAAUUUGAAUCUUUUAUUGUUUCUUUGGUAUGUUAAGGUAUACAGAUACUCCUGGUAUAUGGACCAAGGAGCAAGUUGAAGCAUGGAAACCCAUUGUCAAUGCUGUACAUGCCAAAGGGGGUUUCUUCAUCUGUCAAAUUGUGCACGUCGGGAGGGUUUCAAAUAGUGGUUCGUCCCUGAGGAUCCUGACUCACGACUCUGUCAUAGAAACCCUUGUGAUCGAGCAUAAGUGACUUAUAAGAUUAGUGAUGCAUUUGAAAACUAGAUGCUCUUCCUUAAUUUAUUAGGAAAACAUAACGUUUUGACGUGGAACAAGUUUGAUGAAUUUAAAUAACUCAGAAUUCAUAACUAGUGGAUAGUAUGUGCAUGCAUAGUCCUAUAUUAUAAACUUCUUUUUCACCAAUAUAAGGAUCUAUCAACCUUGCUUCUGCUAUGGUUGUUGUAGAUCAAUGAAUUUGAUAUUUCUUCAAUAUAAUCUGUCGUGUUCUCAUAGUGAUUCUCUCCCUCUUUUGCUUAUAGGCUUUCAGCCAAAUGGGCAAUCUCCAAUCUCUUCUACUGACAAGCCCCUACAACCACAAAUAGGAUCUAGUGGAAUUGACGUUGAGGAAUUCACACCUCCAAGACGAUUAAGGGCAGAUGAAAUUCCUCAAAUCGUCAAUGAUUUUAGACUUGCUGCAAGGAAUGCGAUGGAAGCUGGUAAUUUUUUCAAGUUAAAUAUGAAAUAAAUUUACAUGUCCUUUUACAGAAACGUGUUAUAUCAAAGUGGUGAUCUCUUUGUUUCAGUUAUUGGGUAAUGAAAAGUUUCAAAAAUAUUCAGUAACACCAAUAUUGUUAUUGUUUGUUGAUUUUAUAGGCUUUGAUGGAGUUGAAAUUCAUGGCGCCCAUGGCUACCUAAUCGAUCAGUUUUUAAAAGAUCAAGUAAAUGAUCGAACAGACCAAUACGGUGGAUCUCUAGAAAACCGUUGCCGAUUUGCACUAGACAUUGUUGAAGCUCUUGUCAACGAGAUAGGAGCAGCCAAAGUUGGAAUCAGAUUAUCUCCAUUUGCCGACUAUAUGGAAUCCGGAGAUUCUAAUCCAAAGGAGUUGGGACUUUAUCUAGCCAAUGCCUUAAACAUGUAUGGGAUCCUGUACUGCCACAUGAUUGAGCCAAGAAUGAAGACGGUUGGAGAAAAAUGUGAAUGUCCCCACAGUCUCGUACCCAUGAGAAAGGCUUUCAAUGGUACCUUCAUUGCUGCUGGUGGUUUUGACAUGGAAGAUGGGAAUAAUGCUGUAGCUGAGGACCGUGCAGAUCUUAUUGCUUUUGGUCGUUGGUUCUUGGCUAAUCCGGAUUUGCCAAAGAG
rnacentral:lncRNA from 1 species